GACACGUUAGCACAGGCAAGCUUUAUUCUGACGGUACCGCGAGUACCGACUACCGACCAGCCCAGCCCCAAACGCGAACUGCCACUCACUCGGUGACCUGGUUAUAUUUUCAUCUGUCUUUCGCUGUUUUUGUCGAAUUGGAUUACUUGGGUGAUAGAUCUUGCUCAAUUUGCGCCUGACCAUCUGAUCAGGUUUGAGAGCAAUGGUGAAGGAUACUGAGUACUACGAUAUUCUGGGUGUGAGAUAUGAUGCUACUCCAGCUGAGAUCAAGAAGGCUUACUACCUUAAAGCAAGGCUGGUACACCCAGA